GACGAACGCUGGCGGCGUGCUUAACACAUGCAAGUCGAACGGUGAAGCGCCUUCCUUUUUGGUGGGUGUGGAUGAGUGGCGAACGGGUGAGUAACACGUGAGUAACCUGCCCCCUUCUUCUGGAUAACCGCAUGAAAGUGUGGCUAAUACGGGAUAUUCUGGGUCUGUCGCAUGAUGGGUCUGGGAAAGAUAUUGUUUCGGUGGGGGAUGGGCUCGCGGCCUAUCAGCUUGUUGGUGGGGUGAUGGCCUACCAAGGCGGUGACGGGUAGCCGGCCUGAGAGGGUGGACGGUCACACUGGGACUGAGACACGGCCCAGACUCCUACGAGAGGCAGCAGUGGGGAAUAUUGAACAAUGGGCGCAAGCCUGAUGCAGCGACGCCGCGUGAGGGAUGGAGGCCUUCGGGUUGUGAACCUCUUUCGCCAGUGAAGCAGGCCUGCCUCGUUUGUGGGUGGGUUGACGGUAGCUGGAGAAGAAGCGCCGGCUAACUACGUG
rnacentral:rRNA from 1 species